UGGGGGAUAUUGCACAAUGGGGGAAACCCUGAUGCAGCGACGCCGCGUGGAGGAAGAAGGUUUUCGGAUUGUAAACUCCUGUCGUUAGGGACGAUAAUGACGGUACCUAACAAGAAAGCACCGGCUAACUACGUGCCAGCAGCCGCGGUAAAACGUAGGGUGCAAGCGUUGUCCGGAAUUACUGGGUGUAAAGGGAGCGCAGGCGGACCGGCAAGUUGGAAGUGAAAACUAUGGGCUCAACUCAUAAAUUGCUUUCAAAACUGCUGGCCUUGAGUAGUGCAGAGGUAGGUGGAAUUCCCGGUGUAGCGGUGGAAUGCGUAGAUAUCGGGAGGAACACCAGUGGCGAAGGCGACCUACUGGGCACCAACUGACGCUGAGGCUCGAAAGCAUGGGUAGCAAACAGGAUUAGAUACCCUGGUAGUCCAUGCCGUAAACGAUGAUUACUAGGUGUUGGAGGAUUGACCCCUUCAGUGCCGCAGUUAACACAAUAAGUAAUCCACCUGGGGAGUACGACCGCAAGGUUGAAACUCAAAGGAAUUGACGGGGGCCCGCACAAGCAGUGGAGUAUGUGGUUUAAUUCGAAGCAACGCGAAGAACCUUACCAGGUCUUGACAUCCGAUGCAUAGUGCAGAGAUGCAUGAAGUCCUUCGGGACAUCGAGACAGGUGGUGCAUGGUUGUCGUCAGCUCGUGUCGUGAGAUGUUGGGUUAAGUCCCGCAACGAGCGCAACCCUUAUUGCCAGUUACUACGCAAGAGGACUCUGGCGAGACUGCCGUUGACAAAACGGAGGAAGGUGGGGAUGACGUCAAAUCAUCAUGCCCUUUAUGACCUGGGCUACACACGUACUACAAUGGCGUUUAACAAAGAGAAGCAAGACCGCGAGGUGGAGCAAAACUCAAAAACAACGUCUCAGUUCAGAUUGCAGGCUGCAACUCGCCUGCAUGAAGUCGGAAUUGCUAGUAAUCGCGGAUCAGCAUGCCGCGGUGAAUACGUUCCC
rnacentral:rRNA from 1 species